GACGAACGCUGGCGGCGUGCCUAAUACAUGCAAGUAGAACGCUGAAGGAGGAGCUUGCUUCUCUGGAUGAGUUGCGAACGGGUGAGUAACGCGUAGGUAACCUGCCUGGUAGCGGGGGAUAACUAUUGGAAACGAUAGCUAAUACCGCAUAAGAGUAGAUGUUGCAUGACAUUUGCUUAAAAGGUGCAAUUGCAUCACUACCAGAUGGACCUGCGUUGUAUUAGCUAGUUGGUGGGGUAACGGCUUACCAAGGCGACGAUACAUAGCCGACCUGAGAGGGUGGUCGGCCACACUGGGACUGAGACACGGCCCAGACGCCUACGGGAGGCAGCAGUAGGGAAUCUUCGGCAAUGGACGGAAGUCUGACCGAGCAACGCCGCGUGAGUGAAGAAGGUUUUCGGAUCGUAAAGCUCUGUUGUAAGAGAAGAACGAGUGUGAGAGUGGAAAGUUCACACUGUGACGGUAUCUUACCAGAAAGGGACGGCUAACUACGUG
rnacentral:rRNA from 1 species